rnacentral:rRNA from 1 species
UUCCGGUUGAUCCUGCCGAAGGUUACUGCUAUUGGAGUUCGAUUAAGCCAUGCGAGUCAAGGGGACUUCGGUCACCGGCGGAAUGCUCAGUAACACGUGGACAAUCUGCCCUCGGGUGGGGAAUAAACCCGCGAAAGUGGGGCUAAUACCCCAUAGGCACAGGAGGCUGGAAUGCAUCUGUGCCCAAAGCUCCGGCGCCUGAGGAUGAGUCUGCGGCCUAUCAGGUUGUAGUCAGGGUCAUGACCUGACUAGCCAGCGACGGGUAUGGGGUGUGAGAGCACUUGCCCAGAGAUGGUUUCUGAGACACGAAACCAGGCCCUACGGGGCGCAGCAGGCGCGAAAACUUCGCAAUGCGGGAAACCGUGACGAGGGGAUUCCAAGUGUCUAUGCAUUGCAUAGACUGUUUUUUAGCCUAAAUAGCUAUUAGAGUAAGGGGUGGGCAAGACCGGUGCCAGCCGCCGCGGUAACACCGGCACCCCGAGUGGUAGCCACUAUUAUUGGGCCUAAAGCGUUCGUAGCCGGUUUGGUAAAUUCUUGGGUAAAUCGUACCGCUUAACGGUGCGGAUUCUGGGGACACUACCAGACUUGAGACCGGGAGAGAUUAGAGGUACUUGCGGGGGAGCGGUGAAAUGUUGUAAUCCCGCAGGGACCACCAGUGGCGAAGGCGUCUAAUCAUAACGGCUUUGACGGUGAGGAACGAAACCCUGGGGCGCAAACGGGAUUAGAUACCCCGGUAGUCCAGGGCGUAAACGCUGCUGACUUGGUGUUGGAGAUCCUAAGAGGGUGUCCAGUGCUGGCGCGAAGGUAUUAAGUCAGCCGCCUGGGGAGUACGGUCGCAAGACUGAAACUUAAAGGAAUUGGCGGGGGAGCACUGCAACGUGUGGAGCGUGCGGUUUAAUUGGAGUCAACGCCGGA